UCACAUACAAUAUAUUAUCAGCGUUACAAAAAAAGUAUUCCAGUACAUGUAGAUUUCGGAGGAUUGGCGUUUACUGUCUGCUUGGUUUUCUAUUUAUUUUUUUUGAAGGUUAUU